GUGGAAAACAAAAACAAAACAGGAUUAGGAUUAAAUUAAUCCUGCUCCCUGCACAUAUAAGAUUUAAUGAAUAAAACAUUGCACAUAUUAGAUUACAUUUUAAAUUACAUCAAAUUUAACGUAUAAAAUCACAUUUUACAUAUAAAAUAAAAAUGUACGUAUGAGAGUAAAAUUGUAAACAUGGUUUGUGUCCUCUUCCUCUCUUCCUGUCUUCUUGUCUUCCUCUAUUCCUGUAUCUUCCUGUCUCUUCCUCUCUUCCUCUCUUCCUCUCUUCUUGUCUUCCUCUCUUCCUCUCUUCCUCUCUUCCUCUCUUCUUGUUUUCCUCUCUUCCUCUCUUCCUGUAUCUUCCUGUCUAUUCCUGUCUCUUCCUCUCUUCUUGUCUUCCUCUCUUCCUCUCUUCCUCUCUUCCUGUAUCUUCCUGUCUAUUCCUGUCUCUUCCUCUCUUCCUCUCUUCUUGUUUUCCUCUCUUCCUCUCUUCCUGUCUCUUCCUGUCUCUUCCUCUCUUCUUGUCUUCCUCUCUUCCUCUCUUCCUCUCUUCCUGUAUCUUCCUGUCUAUUCCUGUCUCUUCCUCUCUUCCUCUCUUCUUGUCUUCCUCUCUUCCUCUAUCUUCCUGUCUCUUCCUGUCUAUUCCUGUCUCUUCCUCUCUUCCUCUCUUCUUGUUUCCUCUCUUCCUGUAUCUUCCUGUCUCUUCCUCUCUCUGUUUCCUCUCUUCCUCUCUUCCUGUCUCUUCCUGUCUCUUCCUCUCUUCCUAUCUUCUGUCUCUUCUCUUCUAUCUCUUCCUGUCUCUUCAUGUCUUCCUGUCUCUUCCUCUCUUCCUAUCUCUUCCUGUCUCUUCAUGUCUUCCUGUCUCUUCCUGUCUCUUCCUCUCUUCCUGUCUCUUCCUCUCUUCCUGUCUCUUCCUCUCUUCCUCUCUUCCUAUCUCUUCCUGUCUCUUCCUCUCUUCCUGUCUCUUCCUCUCUUCCUGUCUCUUCCUCUCUUCCUGUCUCUUCCUCUCUUCCUCUAUUCCUGUCUCUUCCUCUCUUCCUAUCUCUUCCUGUCUCUUCAUGUCUUCCUGUCUCUUCAUGUCUUCCUGUCUCUUCCUCUCUCUUCCUGUCUCUUCAUGUCUUCCUGUCUCUUCCUGUCUCUUCCUGUCUCUUCCUCUCUCUUCCUGUCUCUUCAUGUCUUCCUGUCUCUUCCUCUCUCUUCCUGUCUCUUCAUGUCUUCCUGUCUCUUCCUCUCUCUCUUCCUGUCUCUUCAUGUCUUCCUGUCUCUUCCUCUCUUC
rnacentral:lncRNA from 1 species